GGAUACCCCCACCGGAUCGCAUGAUCUGGUGAGGAAAUGGAUUCCGCUUCGGGAGGGCCUCGCGGCCUAUCAGCUUGUUGGUGGGGUAACGGCCCACCAAGGCAUCGACGGGUAGCUGGUCUGAGAGGACGAUCAGCCACACUGGGACUGAGACACGGCCCAGACUCCUACGGGAGGCAGCAGUGGGGAAUCUUGCGCAAUGGGCGAAAGCCUGACGCAGCAACGCCGCGUGGGGGAUGAAGGCUCUCGGGUUGUAAACCCCUUUCAGCAGGGACGAAUCAAGACGGUACCUGCAGAAGAAGCCCCGGCUAACUACGUGCCAGCAGCCGCGGUAACACGUAGGGGGCAAGCGUUGUUCGGAUUUAUUGGGCGUAAAGAGCUCGUAGGCGGCUGAGUAAGUCGGGUGUUAAAUCCCCAGGCUCAACCUGGGACACCACCCGAUACUGCUCUGGCUAGAGUCCGGUAGGGGAGCGUGGAAUUCCUGGUGUAGCGGUGAAAUGCGCAGAUAUCAGGAG
rnacentral:rRNA from 1 species